rnacentral:tRNA from 1 species
UCCCCUGUAGCUCAGUCGGCAGAGCAGCGGACUGUUAAUCCGCGUGUCGGUGGUUCGAGCCCACCCGGGGGAGC